CGCUCAACAAUAGCUUUUAUUGUCACCAUCACUCAGAGGCGGGGAAUGAGAAGGCAUGGGGAGGCCCGUGAGGGGAUGGCAAGAGGGAUCAGGGCGAAGUGGCAGGAGGGCCAAGGAGGGGCGGAAGCGGUGACAGAGGGAGGGGGCGCUGACCUGAACUGGGGCCCGGGCUGGGGGCGGGAGGGAGCCCGCCACGCUCUCCCCCCACGGAAGGCGCCACGCAUCCUGGACACAGCAGCCGCUGUCGCUCUUCAGGCUCGGUCUCCGGGGCAGGCUGCGCAGCGCACAUUGGUAUGCAGCGUCCACCCGUGGGCCCAGGAGAGCCUGCCCCGCAGGGCCGGAGCCCGGGGAGGGGCUCCACGCUUACGGGGGGCGGGGGAGGGGUACAGGAGGGUCCCCACAUCCAGGAACGGCCAUGACACUCAUGCUCGGCGGCAGGACAAUAGCAGAGCCACCUACACGCUGAGGCGGGGCGGGGCGGGUCCUCUUCCCACCCGGGGCCGGUGGGUUACGGAGCGACAACAGGGCGGGACAAAGGCACGAAGUGGGGCUCCGGCCUGGCCAGGAGGGAAGAUGGGAGGGUCUGAGCGGGGAGGGGCUGGACUUCUCCUAACGCCCCCGCCCCCUCGGGCCGGGCUCCGAGGCGGGAUCCCGAGCGCCCCGGUCGGGCAGCCGGGGGAGACCCUGCGGAGGGCAGGCCCGGGUCGCCCCGGCUCAGACCAGCGCGUAGUCGAACUGCCCGCGCUCGAGCGCCUCCUUGUGGUCGGUCCAGGACGAGGCGGGCAUGCGGCUGUAGGGGUCGAGCAGGAUGCGCACGCAGCGCACCAUCAGCAGCACCAGCACCACGAGCAGGCACAGCACGAAGGCGAACACGGUGCGCUGCUCCGCGUCCAGGCCCGCGCCCACCGGGGGCCCCGUCGACGGCGGCAGCGGCUCGGGGGACAGUGUCCACGUCGCGCUCAUGGCUCACAUCGCCGCGCGCCCUGCGGAGGAGGGGGCCCACCAGGGGUGCGGGGAUGAGGCGGCGCCCUCCCGCGGCCCCGCGUCGCCCCCUCCUGCCGCCGCCCCCACCCGCGCCCGCGCC
rnacentral:lncRNA from 1 species